rnacentral:rRNA from 1 species
AUGAACGCUGGCGGCGUGCCUAAUACAUGCCAGUAGAACGCUGAAGCUUGGUGCUUGCACCGAGCGGAUGAGUUGCGAACGGGUGAGUAACGCGUAGGUAACCUGCCUCUUAGCGGGGGAUAACUAUUGGAAACGAUAGCUAAUACCGCAUAAAAGUCGAUAUCGCAUGAUAUUGAUUUGAAAGGUGCAAAUGCAUCACUAAGAGAUGGACCUGCGUUGUAUUAGCUAGUUGGUGAGGUAACGGCUCACCAAGGCGACGAUACAUAGCCGACCUGAGAGGGUGAUCGGCCACACUGGGACUGAGACACGGCCCAGACUCCUACGGGAGGCAGCAGUAGGGAAUCUUCGGCAAUGGGGGCAACCCUGACCGAGCAACGCCGCGUGAGUGAAGAAGGUUUUCGGAUCGUAAAGCUCUGUUGUAAGAGAAGAACGAGUGUGAGAGUGGAAAGUUCACACUGUGACGGUAACUUACCAGAAAGGGACGGCUAACUACGUG